GUUGUCUAGAUCCUAGUGCAUUCAAUCAAUGGGUUAGAGAUAUGGAUCGCUUCUUUGCAUGGUAUGGGGUCCCGGAAGAUCGGAGGGUACAAUUUGUCAGUUUGAAGUUAACUGGCACUGCUAAACUCUUUUGGGAGAGUGUUGAGGACCUCCUUGAAAGGCGUCAUGCUCUCCCUGUUGGGAGCUGGGAUGAAAUGAAGCGCCGCCUUCAAGAAAAAUAUUUACCCCAAUCUUAUAGGGUUAACUUGCUGGAUCAAUGGAACGCACUUACACAAGGCAAUCGACCUGUGACCGAAUAUGUCGCUCAGUUUGAUGAGUUUCGAAUGAAAUGUCAGGUUGUUGAGGAUGAAGUUAUGACUUUAAGUAGGUUUAGGCAAGGCUUAAAAGAUGAACUUAGGCGCGAGCUUGUCCUUAGGGGUGUCACCACUCUUGACCACGCCUACUCUUUCGUUCGGGAUUAUGAGUUAGUGACUAGGACACCGUAUAGAAAUCGUAGUGACUCCCGCACUACAACCUCAUCUGCCUCCACGCCAUCCCCUAAGUCUAUUAAACUCUUUUGGGAGAGUGUUGAGGACCUCCUUGAAAGGCGUCAUGCUCUCCCUGUUGGGAGCUGGGAUGAAAUGAAGCGCCGCCUUCAAGAAAAAUAUUUACCCCAAUCUUAUAGGGUUAACUUGCUGGAUCAAUGGAACGCACUUACACAAGGCAAUCGACCUGUGACCGAAUAUGUUGCUCAGUUUGAUGAGUUUCGAAUGAAAUGUCAGGUUGUUGAGGAUGAAGUUAUGACUUUGAGUAGGUUUAGGCAAGGUUUAAGAGACGAACUUAGGCGCGAGCUUGUCCUUAGGGGUGUCACCACUCUCAACCACGCCUACUCUUUCGUUCGGGAUUAUGAAUUAGUGACUAGGACACCGUAUAGAAAUCGUAGUGACUCCCGCACUACAACCUCAUCUGCAUCCACGCCAUCCCCUAAGUCUAUUUUAGGUCCUCCUCCCUCUAAUACUACCUCUGCAUCGGAUAGCAAAGGUAGAGGUUCUGAGGUUUCAAGGACAUCCUUCCGUUUGCAAUGCUUCAACUGUAAGGGUUUUGGUCACAUUGCUUCUAAGUGCCCUAGACGAGCCCUAGUUCUGGACGAACGUGAGGAUAUAGUCGUCGAACCACUAGAGGAUCAGGUUUAUGAGCCUAAGUUAGAAGAGUUUGAAGACUUAGAGGACAGUGAGGAUACCUUCUUAGGUUGCAUUCAGGCUAGUCCCAUUACCCCACAGACACCCAGAGUCGGUGUCGUCCGUUGCACCCUCACCCAGCCUAAGGAUGCCGACGAUUGGCGCCGUCAUGCCAUCUUCCACACCUACAUCAAGAUUAAUAACAAGGGCUGUAAAGUUAUCGUGGAUAGUGGCAGCUGUAUUAAUGCGGUUUCGAAGGCUACUAUAUCCCGCCUAGGGUUGAAGCCAGUUCCUCACCCCCAACCUUAUAGUGUCUCUUGGGUUGACACCUCCUCUAUAGCUGUUAAGGAGCGUUGUUUAGUCCCUAUCCAGUUCCUGGAGUAUAAGGACCAUAUAUGGUGUGACGUUAUUUCGAUGGACGUCGGACACAUCAUCUUAGGACGACCUUGGCUAUUUGACCUAGAUGUAACCAUAUAUGGUCGAUCCAAUUCCUGCUCCUUCGUGUUUAAUGGAAAGAAGAUUCACCUUAACCCACUACCCCCAAAGCCGGCUAGCUCACCAGAAGCGAAGAAAAGUGUGGAACAAAAGGGGUUGCAUAUCAUUAGUCCUACAGAGUUUGAGCGUACAAUUGUUGGUGACUCAAUUGUGUUCGCCUUAGUAGUCAUGGAGGUUUCAUCUAACUUCACAAGUGAGGAUACUGCGGAAGUCCAAUCGAUCAUUCAGGAGUUUCGAGAUGUCUUUCCGGCGGACCUACCUGAUCAUCUACCUCCGCUAAGAGAUAUUCAACAUGCCAUAGAUUUCGUCUCCGGUGCAUCCCUUCCAAAUUUGCCACAUUAUAGGAUGAAUCCUACCGAGCACGCUGAGCUCCAAAGGCAAGUAGAUGACCUUCUCAACAAAGGAUUCAUUCGUGAGAGUUUAAGCCCAUGUGCUGUCCCCGCCCUAUUGACGCCCAAAAAGGAUGGAUCUUGGAGAAUGUGUGUGGAUAGUCGCGCUAUCAAUAGGAUC
rnacentral:lncRNA from 1 species